CAGUCGCCGCGGGAAUACGUAGGGUGCAAGCGUUAAUCGGAAUUACUGGGCGUAAAGCGUGCGCAGGCGGUUAUAUAAGUCAGAUGUGAAAUCCCCGGGCUCAACCUGGGAACUGCAUUUGAGACUGUAUGGCUAGAGUGUGUCAGAGGGGGGUAGAAUUCCAUGUGUAGCAGUGAAAUGCGUAGAUAUGUGGAGGAAUACCGAUGGCGAAGGCAGCCCCCUGGGAUAACACUGACGCUCAUGCACGAAAGCGUGGGGAGCAAACAGGAUUAGAUACCCCCGUAGUCCCUGUCUCUUAUAC
rnacentral:rRNA from 1 species